GGGAUUAGCUCAGCUGGCUAGAGCGCCUGCCUUGCACGCAGGAGGUCAUCGGUUCGACUCCGAUAUUCUCCACUAAAC
rnacentral:tRNA from 1 species